GCUGGGCAUGGUGUCGCAUGCCUGUAAUCCCAGCUACUGGGGAGGCUGAGGCAGGACAAUUGCUUGAAUCCAGGAGGCUGAGGUUGCAGUGAGCUAGUGCACCACUGCACUCCAGCCUGGGUGACAGAGAGAAACCCUGUCUCAA
ensembl:misc_RNA Metazoa_SRP Metazoan signal recognition particle RNA